rnacentral:lncRNA from 1 species
UUUCACUACAUCUUAAGAGAUUCAGAAAGUUCUUGUUAAUAAUAAGGCCCAGCAUGGAACUAGGGUGUACUUUGCAUUUGUAUAACCCAGGUGGAAGAGCAUAUGUAGGCUAAAGAAACAAACAAAAAACCGAUAAAAGAACAAUAGGGCCUAGCCAGGGUGAAGGUACCUUAAGGCAACAAGAGAGGGAGGAAGGGGCUUCCGAGAAGGAGGGAAGAAAAAAAACUUCAGAAAUAAGUGUUAGAGGGCUGUUGCAGUGGCUCACUAAUCCCAGCACUUUGGGAGGGUGAGGUGGACAGAUCACUUGAAGUCAGGAGUUCAAGACCAGCCUGGCCAACAUGGCGAAACCCCAUCUCUACAAAAAACACAAAAAUUUGCCGGGCAUGGUUGCAUGCGCCUGUAAUCCCAGCUAUUUGGGAGGCUGAAGUGGGAGGUUGAAUCUGUUUAGUAAAUUGGGGGCUUAGAAUAUUUCAUUUUUGGUUUACAGGGGCUUGAGUUCUCCUUGUGGCCUGUCUCCAUAUGGCAUUUCCUCUAGCUACAGUUUUCAGGAGCUAUUUGGUCUCUCAACUCUAAGCAUACAAAACCCUUAAGACUCCUCUGUAGUAGAUGCUCUGAACAAGCCAGGGCUGGGAAGGAGGUCUAUUUAUUUUUUGACUCAAUUCUUUCAUCAGAGUUUCAGUAAGUGAGUUACAAAUUAGUGAAUCAAGAGGAAACAUGUGAAGCAGUUGCACAGUUUUUUCAGAGUAAAUCUGGAAAUGAAGAUAUUAGUUGCUACAGGUGGGAGGGGUGAGCAGAGGCAGAUUUACCAUGAAGUUAAUAUGAGGGUCUCUGAAGGCUUGUAUCUCUCUCUCUCUCUUUUUUUUUUUUGACAAGGCCUCACUCUGUUGCCUAGGCUGGAGUGGCGUGAUCUCAGCCCAUUGCAGCCUUGACCUCCUGGGCUCAAGCGAUCUUCCCACCUCAGCCUCUCAGGUAGCUGGGACUACAGGCAUGCACCAGGCCCAGCUAAAUACUGUAUUUUUU